rnacentral:rRNA from 1 species
CCUACGGGAGGCAGCAGUCGAGAAUCAUUCGCAAUGGGCGAAAGCCUGACGAUGCGACGCCGCGUGAACGAAGAAGGCCCUCGGGUUGUAAAGUUCUUUCGCUUGGGAACAAGGGAUGUCGAUUAAUACUCGGCAGACUUGAGCGUACCAGGUAAAGAAGCACCGGCUAACUCCGUGCCAGCAGCUGCGGUAAUACGGAGGGUGCAAGCGUUAAUCGGAUUCAUUGGGCGUAAAGAGCGCGUAGGCUGAAGAGCCAGUCGGGCGUGAAAUUCCAGGGCUCAACCCUGGAGCUGCACUCGAUACUACUCUUCUAGAGGAUAGGCGGAGAAAACGGAAUUCCAUGUGUAGCGGUGAAAUGCGUAGAUAUGUGGAAGAACACCCGUGGCGAAGGCGGUUUUCUAGCUUACUCCUGACGCUGAGGCGCGAAAGCAAGGGGAGCGAACAGGAUUAGAUACCCUGGUAGUCCUUGCCGUAAACGAUGCAUACUAAGUGUAGCUGGAUUCAACCCUGGCUGUGCUGAAGCUAACGUAUUAAGUAUGCCGCCUGGGGAGUACGCUCGCAAGGGUGAAACUCAAAGGAAUUGACGGA